AACAUGCCAUGGAGAAUAGGAGAGAAAGCCUGAAGUUAUGAAGGAGCCACUUUUAAAAUCAUCUGUGUCCACAAAGGCAAGCAGCAAUGUAAAGAGAUGCCCAAAUCUCACGCAUUCAAUUGUGGAAUAAAUAACACACAGUUUUCCUCGAUGGUAAUUCUGCUAUGAGGACGGACCACAGGGUUUCCCAAGCAUACCACUCUUCCCCACAAAGACUCUGAACCAAAUUGUGGAUUUCCCUUGGACACCACCCCACACCCCACACUUUGUCAUUUGCCUUGAGGUCAGCCUAUGUGAAGGAAAGAUCCGAGUGCUCAUCUGGUCUUACAUCUGAGGCUCUGGGUUCUGAACCUGAAUCUCCAGGUGGUGAUAUUGGUGGAAAGUAGGUCAGAGUUGGAAUCCCCUAGCUCCAUCCAUCGUCAUAUUUGGAAGUCCAGUCAUCAAUACCAAGGGUAACUUGAAGCAAAGGUAACUAGAAGAGUUUAUUCUGAAAAAAAUUAAGGGACAUAGUGGAACCAAUUUUGGGAGAGAGGGUGGAUUUAGUGUUCAAUAAAACCUCACUAUUACUCAGCAAGGAUAUUUCUGUGGAUUUCUCAAAAGCAGCCACCACCAAUGCCCAGUGAAUAUUUUUCUUGUAUUCGUUUCUGAAUCUGUAUUCUACUCAUCUUCUGUAAUUGCUACCUAUGGCAAUGUAGCAUGUAAUGUCUGGACAUGUUAUCUCAGAAAGAAAGCAGAAACAGUUGGCAGUCCACACUCUGUUUUAAGAAAAAAAAUAAAAUAGGGGCACGUGGGUGGCUCAGUAGGUUAAGCAUCUGACUUCAGCUCAGGUCAUGAUCUCAUGACCUCUGGGUUCAAGCCCCAUGUCGGGCUCUGUACUG